UGUGAUGUCGGCUAAGGAAACAGAUUGGCCUGGGCUAAAGUAUCUAAAGACCUUAGGAUUGCUGCAGGUCAACAGUCCCCACUGGAGAAAAAAAUCUUGAAUCUAGGUGGCGUGCAUACAACAGCAGCAAGACAACUGAUAAUUCAAAAAUAUCAAGAGGAGUAUGAAACACUCUGUAGGGAGCAAGGUCUUUCUCUUGACUACUGGCUUGCCAAAGCGGAGUCUUAUUAUAAUAAAAGAAUAAUGGAAAUGAAGAAAGAACAAGAGACAGGCAAUGAAAUCAAGAAGAGAUUGGAGGGGAAAACAACCCAAAGCAUAGAAGGACAAAAACGAUAUUAUUUGGUACCUGAGAGAGAAGUGAAACAUGUAGAAAUGCACAUACAUCGAGCAGGACAGGUCAGAGAGUUUAAGAAUAAAACAUUUAGACAAUUACCACCACGCCCUAGUGAAAUAAAAUUGCCCAAAAUUGUGCCAGAAGUACAUGGCAUCCAGAACGCACAGAGAAGAAAGCAGGUAAAUGAGAGGGAACAGAUGCAAAUUAAAGCUCACCAGGAACGCAUGAUUCGAGGGAGAGAACUUGUACAGCAAAAACUCAAGGAAGGAAUCUUGAGAAAAGACCAGAGCUGGCCUCCUAUACGUGAGAAGCAUGAGAGUGUAAAGAAAGAGAUAAAAGAGUAUGAAAGCGUUAUUGCAUAUCCACUUUUCCAGCCAUGCAGUAGCAGUCGGAUUAAAGUGAAUAUUCUUAUGGAAAAGUCUCAGAAUAGAGAAGACAAUACAAUUAUCAAGCCAUAUCAAAGAAGAUUCUUAACU